GCUGCCUCUGCCCCGGAAGUAGGGCAGAGGACACCGGAAGUGGAAAGCCUCCAUUCCCGGAAGCGCAGGUGUUCCGGCCGGGCGGCCAGUGGCCACAGGGAGAUGGCAGCUGCCCGGCGCUGGAGGCAGCGAUUGGGCUGGGCGGCGGCUCCGGCCCCCUCCCGGCGCGGGGGAGCGGGGUGAUGGGAUCGGGCCGCUCGCCCGCCCGCCGCCUUUCCGGUUGAGGAAGGUGCAGAGCAUGGAGAAUGAUGAACUUCCGCCAGAGGAUGGGAUGGAUUGGUGUGGGGUUGUAUCUGUUAGCAAGUGCUGCAGCUUUUUACUAUGUCUUUGAAAUCAAUGAGACUUACAACAAACUAGCACUGGAGCACAUUCAACAGCACCCUGAAGAGCCACAAGAAGGAACCACAUGGACACACUCCUUAAAAGCACGACUGCUGUCCCUGCCUUUUUGGCUCUGGACUAUUAUAUUUUUAAUACCAUAUUUACAAAUGUUUUUGUUCCUUUAUUCCUGUACAAGAGCUGACCCCAAAACUGUGGGCUAUUGCAUCAUUCCGAUCUGCCUGGCUGUUGUUUGCAAUCGGCACCAAACAUUUGUGAAGGCCUCUAAUCAGAUCAGUAGAUUACAGUUGAUUGACACUUAAUUCAAUCUCCGGUUUCAGUAGCUGCUUCAGGAACAACACCUAUGUCUGACCUAAUCACAAGACUGAAGUUCUGACUGGAGGAUGGAAAGAGCCUUUCCUUUCAAACGGCUAAGCAGUAGUUGCUUUCUAUUUAAAAAAGAAAGCUUUUUUUAAAGCAUGGACCCAUCGUACUAGCCAGAAUAGCAGAGUCCUGUGAGAGACUUGAUGCCUUAUGAUGCAAAAUUGCCACUAUCCCUCUGAAGUAUCUUGGGGAAAUAUGCUUCUGCAAUCAUACUCCACUGUGCAAAAAAGAUUACAUGCAAGCUUUCCCUAUGAAUCAAUGAAAAUGGACACUUUUGUGAUAAAUGUAAAAGAUUAGAACAUGCUGAUAAAAGCUGCAUUUAACACAUUACUUUGCUUUCUCCUUUUUUAAAUACUAUUGCACGCUUACAAUUCUGAAUUAUCCUUUUAAAAAGAUGAGAAUGAAGUAUGGCUGAACAGCUUUUUAGUGAGGAUAGUCCUUUUCUCUCAGUCACUGAGUUACAGGCCACGCAAUACCAUAUUUUAUUAGGCAGAAGUUGGGGAGUGGUUGAGGCCCGGAGGUGUGAUGCCUUUAACAUCUUUUCACUGAUGCCAAAGAGAGGCUGGUAACUGGCAGUGGACCAGAAGUUCUACAAAACUCAUUUUUCUUUUUCUUCUCCCUACUUUUCUUUUAAUGGUCAGUGAUGUUAAAUACCCUAGAGCAAGAACCAAUGGCUGAUCGAUGAUGAUUCCCCAUCAGAUUGAACCAUCCUGUUUUAGUAUGGCUUAUAGGCGUUUACUUGGUGGUCCCUUUGGUUUUAGUGGAACUCGUUAAGUUUCUAUUGUUGCUACACAUUGUCAAGGAGCAGCCGCUAACCAAAUUCAGCAGCAGGCUCAGAGUUCCACUUGGCCCCUGAGAAUGCCAUUGCUUGGCUUGGCAAACACAGAAAGGCUAAAUAAAGAUUCUAGCCCUUGUGGAGAUAACCUUCUGAAUGUUAAACUAGUGCAGGGCUGAGUCUUCCAAGAGGCAGAAGCAGUAGGCCCAAGCCAAGAUAGUUUAUACCCCUUUUUGUGUCAGUUAUGUGAAUUCCACUAUAAUGAUAAUAAAUGUUAACAUUCUACUGUACGGCUGGAGCAGAAACAUCCACCUGUUCUGAGACUGACUGGAUCUUGGGGAGACUACAAUCACUUCUCCCUCUAGCUCUGCUUUCAGUGUUACCGUGUUUAAACACAGCAGCUAAAACAUUCCUAAUCUUUCAUUUGCAUUUAGAGCAAUUCUGUUUGUGGUUUUAAAUGCGAGCAUUGGUGCUAAGACCUGAACAUACAAUCUACCCUUUACAAGAAAGCAAGUGUAACAAAGUUCUAAUGGCAAAGUAUAAUAUCUAAAGAAGGAGUCCUGCAAAAGUGUUAAGCAGGAAUGGAAGAAUCAACCUUCAGAAGGCAGAGCUUUAAUACUGUGAUACAAUUUCUUUAAUUUUUUUUCAAUCAGUUUAAAUCUAUAUAAACUUAUUUUCCAUGUUUCUAAAACUAGAGUAUCUUCCCUACUUUCUAUCAUUACAGAGGGACCAUGCAAAUACCACUGAGACAAUAGUUCCGUUCAUUGAAAUAAGAUGUUUCUAAUAUUGCCUUGAAAAAUUCCUUUUGAUUGUUUCCUAGUUAGCUUAUCAGUGGAGCUUCUUCUAAGCAUUGGCUGGUAGCAAUCUCAAUAGCCAGCUUUGUCAGGCUAUGUUUCCCAAUGUUUCCUAGAAUGUCCCUUUGUCUACACUUCUGGGCAACAUAAGCUAACAAUGUCAAGCAGGGUACAUGGCUCAUGCCACCUCUGCCUUCAGCUAAGAAAAUUCAAACUGGUUCAGUAAGUCUGAAUCCUCUUCUCUUAAACUCUCUACCCUUACUGUAUAGGAUGUGAGCCACUGUGCCGAUAGGUCUGGCUGCAAUGGUGUAAUUUUUUUUAAAAAGUACAUCUAGAACAUGAAUUUAAAGUUGCCAGGUACAAAGAAGAAACUAGAUCUGUGCCUCUGUGGGUAGGAGUCUUUGCAGAAGAAUGGCCUACGAGGGAGGAAGUUUCAAGGAGUAACAAAAAAGGCAGUCUGAUUCAAUGUCAAGCAAUUGAGUGGCCUUUCACAGAUCAGCUCUUCUAUGUAACAGGCUGAGCCUUUUUGGAUGGGGACAGCAUACAGUAAUGAUUUCAGCAGUUGAUGUUCAUGGAAGAAGGUAGAAUCACUUUGUUUAUACUAGGAGAUUGAGAGCAUCUGCUGUGGAAAUAGCUAUGCAGAGAAAUGCAUGAGCUGUAACAUAAUUGGGGCUAUUUAUGAAAGAUUUGAUACUAAGAGGGCUAGUGCAGAGACUGCUCACCAAUAUUUUUACCACUCUACUGUCUAGACCUGCUUUGCGUAGGAUUAGAGAAGAGGGUGGUAGAAAUGCAGGGAGCUAACUCACCACCAUUUCUAGCACCAAGGGAACUGUGUCACUGGGAGAUUUCCUUAAGAAAUCAAAAUGAAUAUCAAAUUGUCUAAACAACUAAUUUAAUUAUAGUCAUCUUUAAAAAGUAGUUUAACCAUCCUAAAGGCUUUUAGAUAUUCGCUAGUGAGAUUCUCACAUUCAUGUAGAAUCACAGCUUCUUUCCUCUAUAAAUUGCAUAACUUUAGACUUUUUAAAAAAUCUUGGCUUGUAUUAGGGAAUUUUAUCAUUGGGCUUUAAAUCCUGAAAAUUUUCUAAGAGGUGGAAAAUAAAUGAAUUAUUGUUAAGUUUCCAAGUUCAUAAUUAUGGUGCAAAAGCUUCUUUUUGGUCACACUGUUCAUCAGAGAACAAAUCCUAUGAAGAAUACAAUAAGAUCAUGGGAAUAAGACUACAGUUCAACUUGCACUAGAAAAUAGGAACUGCUGUAAAAGAGCACAUGAGAGAUCUGUGAAGUCCAAUAUCUUACCUUUGGUCAUGGGUACAAUAAAACCUCAGUUACAAACUGACCAGUCAACCUCACAUCUCACUUGGACCCAGAAGAACACAGGCAGCUGCAAAGAUGGGGGAAAAAAUGCAAAUAAAGUACUGUGUUAAACUACUAAAAAAUAACGGGAAAUCAUUUUUCUUCUGCAUAGUAAAGUUUCAAAGCUAUAUUAAGUCAAUUUUCAGUUGUAAACUUUAGAAAGAUCAAUGUUUUGUUCAGAAUUACAAACCUUUCAGAGUUACAGACAACCUCCACUCAAGAGAUGUUUGUAACGGUGAGGUUCUACCGUAAUACUUGAAGUUUCAAAAAAAAGUCUCCUUUAAAAACAAAACAAAACCCUUUCACUGCGAGGCUUUUUCCAUGGCUAUUUCUGGCAUAUGUAUUGUUGUAGCUGGUUCUUGGGUCUUUUGUCCAACAUUACAUCCUUGUUGAUCAUUUCUGGUUUGACAACUUUACAAAAGUGGAGUUUGGUGUUCUCUUAGCCUUAAGAAUGUAUAUUAACUACCAACUCUAGUCAGACCUCACCACACAUGCAUGGUGUAAACUAAUGCAUGAAAAGAUUAAUUGUUUUAACUAACAUCACGUGUUUCAUUUUAAAAAGUUUGCAUCAGCUAUGGUUCUACUUAAGCCCUAGAAUGCAAGCUCAACUCUUGCAAGUGACUGAGUUAUUGUGUAAACUAGCAACUUGAGCAUCUUACAACUGCUACUAUUUUUUAAGAAUGCAUUUCUUGAACUUUUGUGUCUUUUGAGACUAAAUGCAUUGUGAAUGAAUACCUUUUUUAAACAAUAAAACCUUUAAAAUUUU